GGCAGGACCAGGUGGAGGUAGUUGAAUCAUGGGGCCGGUUUUCCCUAUGCUAUUCUCGUGAGAGACAGUGAGUCUCACAAGAUCUGAUGGUUUUAUAAGCAUCCAGCCCUGCUUGCACUUACUCUAUCCUGCUGUCCUACGAGGAAGGUGCCUGCUUCUCCUUUGCCUCUGUCAUGAUUGUGAACUUCCUGAGGCCUCCCCAGCCAUGCAGAACACAAUGAAUGAGAGUUGCUGUUUUUCCACAUCCUCUCCAGUAUUCUGGUGUCAGUUUUCUGGAUUCUGUAUUCUAACAGGUCAGUGGUCCUAUCUCAUUGUUGUUAUAAUUUGCAGUUCCC
rnacentral:lncRNA from 13 species